rnacentral:rRNA from 1 species
GCGUGCACGAUGAAGGUCUUCGGAUUGUAAAGUGCUUUUAGAAGGGAUGAGUAAGGACAGUACCUUCUGAAUAAGCCUCGGCGAACUACGUGCCAGCAGCCGCGGUAAGACGUAGGAGGCAAGCGUUAUCCGGAUUUAUUGGGCGUAAAGCGCGUGCAGGCGGUUUGGUAAGUUGGAUGUGAAAUCUCUUGGCUUAACUGGGAGAGGUCGUUCAAAACUACCAGACUAGAGAGUGGUAGAGGAAGGUGGAAUUCCGGGUGUAGUGGUGAAAUGCGU